GACGAACGCUGGCGGCGUGCUUAACACAUGCAAGUCGAACGGAAAGGCCCUGCUUUUGUGGGGUGCUCGAGUGGCGAACGGGUGAGUAACACGUGAGUAACCUGCCCUUGACUUUGGGAUAACUUCAGGAAACUGGGGCUAAUACCGGAUAGGAGCUCCUGCUGCAUGGUGGGGGUUGGAAAGUUUCGGCGGUUGGGGAUGGACUCGCGGCUUAUCAGCUUGUUGGUGGGGUAGUGGCUUACCAAGGCUUUGACGGGUAGCCGGCCUGAGAGGGUGACCGGCCACAUUGGGCCUGAGAUACGGCCCAGCCUCCUACGGGAGGCAGCAGUGGGGAAUAUUGCACAGUGGGCGGAAGCCUGAUGCAGCAACGCCGCGUGCGGGAUGACGGCCUUCGGGUUGUAAACCGCUUUCGCCUGUGACGAAGCGUGAGUGACGGUAAUGGGUAAAGAAGCACCGGCUAACUACGUG
rnacentral:rRNA from 1 species